CGAAGAUGGUGCAAGCUAGCUACAAUAUUGGAUGGCAGGGAGAUUGUGCAAACGAACAAACAAGAGAGAGAACAUUCCAGCGUUGCCUCCCCAACUUAUCUGCUCCUGAUGGGAAACUCUGGAGGAUCAGCGAUGAAUGAAUCCGUUCUCGUAGUUGCGGUCGAAGAAGUGCGGCUCCGCUCCCACUGCUCUGAUAUCUGGAUGAACCCGGAGAAACUCCAGCAGAGCC